rnacentral:rRNA from 1 species
AAUGAACGCUGGCGGCAGGCCUAAAACAUGCAAGUCGAACGCCCUAGCAAUAGGGAGUGGCGCACGGGUGAGUAACAUGUGGGAAUAUGCCUUUUGGUACGGAACAACGUUUGGAAACGAACGCUAAUACCGUAUGGUCCCUCCGGGGUAAAGAUUUAUCGCCAAAAGAUUAGCCCGCACUAGAUUAGCUAGUUGGUGAGGUAACGGCUCACCAAGGCGACGAUCAGUAGCUGGUCUGAGAGGAUGAUCAGCCACAUUGGGACUGAGACACGGCCCAAACUCCUACGGGAGGCAGCAGUGGGGAAUAUUGGACAAUGGGCGCAAGCCUGAUCCAGCCAUGCCGCGUGAGUGAUGGAGGCCCUAGGGUUGUAAAGCUCUUUUGUGCGGGAAGAUAAUGACGGUACCGCAAGAAUAAGCCCCGGCUAACUUCGUGCCAGCCGCCGCCGUAACAC